GUAGGUGGCAAGCGUUGUCCGGAAUUAUUGGGCGUAAAGCGCGCGCAGGCGGUUCUUUAAGUCUGAUGUGAAAGCCCACGGCUCAACCGUGGAGGGUCAUUGGAAACUGGAGAACUUGAGUACAGAAGAGGAAAGCGGAAUUCCACGUGUAGCGGUGAAAUGCGUAGAGAUGUGGAGGAACACGAGUGGCGAAGGCGGCUUUCUGGUCUGUAACUGACGCUGAGGCGCGAAAGCGUGGGGAGCAAACAGGGAUUAGAUACCCUGGUAGUCCACGCCGUAAACGAUGAGUGCUAAGUGUUAGGGGGUUUCCGCCCCCUUAGUGCUGCAGCUAACGCAUUAAGCACUCCGCCUGGGGAGUACGGCCGCAAGGCUG
rnacentral:rRNA from 1 species